GCGCCUUCUCUGUUAAGACCAAAGCCUAUUCUCAUCAUCUUCACUCUCUUUCUCUCACUAUUUUUCACUCUCUCUCUACUUCUCCGGCACCGUUUCCGGCGAAACUCCGGCCCGGAACUUUCUUCCUGUCUCUCAGUAAUCUUAAAACUCCUCGAAACUUCCCAUCAACCGGGGUAAGAAACGUGGCAAAAACCAAACACUAUGACUUAGGACCACUAUAAUCCAAAAAAACUUUUCUCUUCCGAUUCUACCGGAGUCUCUCAUGGACCACCGGCCGUCACCCAAUUUUCCUCCUUUGCCGGAGACAUUCCCCGGAUGAAAAUGCAUGCCUAAUGAAUUCACAAAAUGCCCCUUGAAAACACCAAAUUUACAUAAAGCUUUUGCAUUUUGAUUUCAUAAGGAUUCAGCAAAAAGAAAAUCAUCAUACAUUAAUAAUUAUAGGGGCUUUUCUGGUAUUUAACAAAUGGCGUCUGCUCCAAAUACAACUACUGCUUUAGCUACUGUGGAAUCGACCGUCGGCGUUGGUGUUGGCGGCGGCGGCGGCGGCGGCGGCUCAGCCGAUGAACUUAAUGCUAAGGCAGUGCAUAAGAGAUAUGAAGGGUUGGUGAUGGUACGGACUAAAGCUGUAAAAGGGAAAGGGGCUUGGUAUUGGGCUCACCUUGAGCCGAUUUUGGUUCAGAAUUCUGAUACUGGACUUCCUAAAGCCGUCAAGCUUCGUUGUUCUUUAUGCGACGCUGUUUUCUCUGCUUCAAACCCUUCACGAACUGCUUCUGAACAUCUCAAAAGAGGGACUUGUCCCAAUUUCAAUUCUGUUGCAAAACCCAUUUCGUCAGUGCCGCCUUCUCCGUCAACUACCGUCGCCUUGUCGCCGGUGUCUCCGACUCCGUCACAUCAGCAGCAGCAGCAGAAUCAUCGUAAACGGAGCUCUUCCGGUAGUGGGGGUGGCGUACGUGGGGGUAGUUCAAGUUGUGGCGGUAAUGGUGGGGUUGGGGUUGGAGGGAGUGUGACGACGUCGUAUCAAGUUCCACCUUUAGCUAUUGUUGAUCCAACAAGAUUUGCAGUAGAGUUAGCCUAUUCCCCUGGUGUUUCAAUGGCUACCUCAAUUGUCACUGCCGCUGGUACUGGUGGAAGUACGCCGGGAAGUGGUGGUGGUAGUGCUGUGUAUGGGCAGCAGCAUUUGAUGUUGUCAGGUGGUAAAGAGGAUUUAGGUGCUUUAGCUAUGUUGGAAGAUAGUGUGAAGAAGCUAAAAAGUCCUAAAGCAUCACCUGGUCCAACAUUAAGCAAAUCCCAAAUUGAUUCUGCACUUGAUUAUCUUGCUGAUUGGGUGUAUGAAUGUUGUGGGUCGGUCUCGUUUUCGAGUCUUGAGCAUCCAAAGUUUAAAGCUUUCUUAAACCAAGUUGGUUUGCCACCAUUGUCAAGGAGGGAUUUUGCUGGUUCAAGGCUAGAUGCUAAGUAUGAGGAAGCAAAGGUUGAAUCGGAGGCGAAAAUUCGAGAUGCUAUGUUCUUUCAGAUUGCAUCCGAUGGUUGGAAGUCAAAGAAUUAUGGGCAUGUUGGUGAAGAAAAUUUGGUUAAUUUGUCUGUGAAUCUUCCCAAUGGGACCAGUGUGUUCAGAAGAGCAGUGUUCACUAGUGGAUACGUGCAUUCGAAAUAUGCAGAGGAGAUUUUUAUGGAGACCAUUUCUGAAAUAUGUGGGAACAAUUUGCACCAAUGUGUAGGUAUAGUUGCAGACAAGUUUAAGGCCAAGGCUUUGAGGAACUUAGAGGAUCAGCAUCAUUGGAUGGUUAAUGUUUCUUGUCAGUAUGAAGCCUUUAAUAGUUUGGUUAAGGAUUUUGGUAAGGAGCUUCCUUUGUUCAAGAAUGUAACUGAAAAUUGUUUAAAACUUGCGAAUUUCGUUAAUAAUAAGUCUCAAGUUCGAAAUAGUUUUCACAAAUAUCAGUUGCAGGAGUAUGGGCAUGCUGGUUUACUGAGAGUACCGUUGCGUGGUUAUGAAAGAUCAGAUUUUGGACCUGUGUACACGUUAGUGGAGGAUAUUCUUAGCUCAGCUCGAGCACUUCAAUUAGUAUUGUUGGAUGAAUCCUAUAAGAUAUUGUCUAUGGAAGAGCAAAUUGCUAGGGAUCUCGAAGAGAUGAUGAGGAGCCCACAUUUUUGGAAUGAACUGGAAGCAGUGCAUUCACUGGUAAAACUGAUUAAGUCAAUGACACAGGAUAUCCAAACAGAGAAGCCGCGUGUAGGGCAGUGCCUUCCUCUUUGGGAGGAGCUUAGGGUGAAAGUGAAGGAUUGGUGCUCGAAGUUUCACGUUGCAGAAGGACCUGUAGAGAAAGUAAUUGAAAGGAGAUUCAACAAGAAUUAUCAUCCUGCCUGGGCUGCCGCAUUUAUACUUGACCCUCUCUAUCUGAUUAGAGACACUAGUGGCAAGUACUUGCCUCCGUUUAAAUGUUUGACACCGGAGCAAGAGAAAGACGUGGACAAGCUCAUUACCCGGCUUGUGUCUAGGGAUGAAGCUCACAUUGCAUUAAUGGAGCUUAUGAAAUGGAGAACUGAAGGACUUGAUCCUGUGUACGCUCAAGCUGUACAAUUGAAGCAAAGGGAUCCCAGCACUGGAAAGAUGAAGAUUGCAAAUCCGCAAAGUAGUAGACUUGUGUGGGAAACUCACCUCACUGAAUUUAAGUCACUUGGCAAAGUGGCAGUUAGGCUAAUCGUCCUUCGUGCAAGUUCAUGCGGUUUUAAGUGCAACUGGUCUGUCUUGAAAUGGGUGAAUGCCCAUUCUCAUUCAAGAGUGGGAAUGGACAAGGCUCAGAAAUUGAUAUUUAUUGCCGCUCACUCAAAGCUUCAAAGGAGGGAUUGUUCUAGUGAUGAAGAUAAAGAUGCUGAGCUCUUUUCCCUGGCAAACAGUGAGGAUGAUGUGCUAAAUGAGUUCUUCAGACUCCGUUGAUAGAUGUCAGCUGGUUAACAAAUGCAACAUUGCAUGGAGAUUCUGUACUUGGAAGAUUAUUACAGAUGAGAUUCUGCUGAAGGUUCUGUGCCUAUACCAUACCUCUCCGCUGCAAUCUUGUGUCAAUCCACGCUCUCAAUAUCAUUCCGGCAAGGUCUGGUAUGAGCAAUAAGUGCUUUUCCCCUAGUUGUUGAGAUUCUACAGUUGUGAAGAGCUAUUACUGUUGUCGUUGGCUUGUUAACAUGCUAUUUUAACCAGUUAGAACUUCUUAUCAUUUAGUAUUUGUUUUCGACCUCUUUAGUAUUCUCUACUUUACUUUUGCCCUCUUUUUUAUUUGUGUUCUUGAAUACUAGAUGCUUCCUUUUUUUUGUUCUGAGUAAUAAUCCAACUCAGUAUCCUAGUGGUCAAUGAAGUGGGUUGAGAAUCAUGAGAUCUCAGGUUCAAACUCUACUAGACACAAAACACACUAGGAGAUUUCUUUUCAUUUGUCCUAGCCUUGGUGGACAGAGUUAACUGGUACCUAUUGUUGGUGGGAGGUGAUAGAUAUCCCGUGGAAUUAGUCGAGAUGCGCUCAAAGCCAUCCCGACCUCCACGGUUAUUAAAAAAAGGAAGACUAUUUCAACUCAUUAUUAUUUACCAACUGAAGUAUGACUUAAGUGCAAUGCUUAUUUCUUGAUUCAGAAGUAUUUGACAAGGUCUAGUCACUCUGGAUAGACCAUGGUAAGAAGCUAUUGAUUGGUUGGAAAAACCGUUCGAUCACAGAUGAAGAGGAUAUUAUGGAAACGAUUUCACCUGAACAUUUUCAGAUAAAAGGACUGAGGUUGUUUCAGUCUAAUGUAAACUAUGCAACUAAGGUUUUGCUAGCUUUAGCAACAACCCCUUUUUGUCAAGGACAUUUGAUCAAUCUUUAUAGCUGUAAGAGCACUUCCAACAACUGACUCUUGGCAACCCCACCAUGAAAGAAGUGGAAGUCUUUUGAAAAAAUGGGUCAUUGGAUGAUUGUGAAAAAGUUGUGAGAGGACCCAAAGUUGAAGAAUACUGUCGGCAUGAAGCAACACAAGAGAGAUGCUUGAUAGCGACAUGGCAACGGAGAUUGACUAAUUUUGCUGGUUACCGGAUGACUUUCAUUAAUGAAAAAACAUCAUUACCUGUCUAAAGGUAUCAAGCAAUUCUUGGAAAGCUACAACCACAACAAUAUACCAAGUGUAGUCCCACACAGUGGGGUCUGAGGAGGGUAGAGUGUACGCAGACCUUACCUCUAUCUCAAAGGUGAGGUCGAGAGGCUGUUUCCUAUAGACCCUUGGUUCAGAAUUCUUGGAAAGCUCUUGGGAAAAAUGUUAGAACAAAAAUCUCCAUUUCUUGAAAAGUGGUGACAUGUUUCAAUGCCAUCUUCCGCGAAACCAGGCUCUUACUUUGUUAUGGCUGAAAUUUCUAACUUUGUUAUACGAACGUUUGGAUUGAAUGUGGGAUUAUAAUCUUGGGAUAACCUGGUCCAAAAUGAUGGAUUACGAUUAAGCUACCAAAAAGAGAUUCUAUGACCACACAACAACUGUUGUAAACACAUUUUAUGGUGUUUUUAGGGAACUUAUCUUCUUUGUUUUUCAUGUUAAACUUUAGUAUGAUAGCACUAUAUGUGGAGAUAAAAGGCAUAUUUCCUUUUUCUCCUUUUUUUUUCACUAUCAUUUUUUGGUGGGGUUAAAAGGAGGUUGUUGAUUGAUUUUG